AUUACUUAUUUCUUUCAACAGCUGCUAAGGGAGCGGGAGGUGGGAAUCCCUCCUGAGCAGUCACUGGAGACAGCAAAAGCCAUUAAGGAGAAAUACUGUUACAUUUGCCCUGAUAUAGUCAAGGAGUUUGCUAAGUAUGAUGUGGAUUCCCGGAAGUGGAUCAAACAAUACACGGGUAUCAACGCAAUCAACCAGAAGAAGUUUGUUAUAGUUGUUGGGUAUGAGAGGUUCCUGGGACCUGAAGUAUUCUUUCACCCAGAGUUUGCCAACCCAGACUUCAUGGAGUCCAUCUCAGAUGUUGUUGACUCGGAUGUUGUUGAUGAAGUAAUACAGAACUGUCCCGUUGAUGUCCGUCGCCCGCUGUAUAAGAAUGUCGUGUUUCAGGAGGCUCGACAAUGUUCAGGGAUUUUGGACGUCUGCUAAGAGCCACAGCUGAGUCGGGAGAACAGCAGCCGAUUUGGAUUCAAGAGAGAUUAACCAAAGUGAUUUCUACAGACCAAAAAGAAGAUGAUUUGACUCAAAUCCAUAACAGCUGAUAUCCAGAGCUCCAGCUUGGCUAUUCUUACAUCUGCGACAGUGAUUAACCAGGAUGCUUUUUUCAAUAUCUAUUUUAUUAUUGCCUUUUCCCACAUCAUAAAGUUCUAUUUUAUUUUUUGAUCUCAUACAGACCUAGGUUAAUGUUUUUCUGAUCAGUUUUACUUUUUGACUGUGGAGUUUUUAAACAUUGCAAUGGAGAUUUCACCUGUGUAAAGCUACAAGGCUUUUAUUAUUGUCUUAUGUGUUGUAUGUUUGUGUGCACACUUGUGUUUUGUGUUGUAUGUCUGUGUGUGUGUAUGUCCAUAUAUCAUAUAUAAGGAGCACUCAUGAAAAAAUGGAUCCGAAUUUAUUUUUAUUCAUGUGAUUUUAAUGGUUUAAUUUAAAUUGGGUAAACAGCUGUUGAGGAUUGUUUUAAUAUGUGAACAAAUAAGGAGGUUAACAGAUCUGUUUGUUUACUUUCACCUUUCCUUUUCAUUAUAUUUAAUAAUUCUGUUCAGGAUAAUGUAAAUUGUUCAGAAAAUUGUUUUUUUAGUACCUGUUGGAAUGUUACAUAAUUUUUUUUUUAGCAUCAUUGCCAGAAUUCCUUUCUUCAUCCCAUUGCUGGUGAAGACAAAGAUAAAACCAAACUACAGCUUCUUCGAUAGUUAUCACAACAAACUGUAUAAACUGAUGCAUGAAUGAAUAAUAACUCAACAAGUAAUGCUCAAUCAAGGAAUCGAUUUACUUUGGGAGGAAAUGGACAUAUUCAUAGAUUUCUCUGCUUUGAACCGCUUGCAGAACUUGCCUGGACUAUGUAUCACUUGUAUACAUUGUGAACUAUCUGUUGGUGCAGCGAAUUGUGGUAAUGCUGGAGUAUCUUUGCUGGUGGUGUCACCGGUGGUACAAUUUUUCAAAGGAGCCAUCAAUUGGCUUAGUGUCAUGGCAUUUCUGUAUCCUCCUCCCUUCUGCUAGUGAUGGUCUAAAAUUUGGGGACCAGCAGAGGUGAGGCAAAGAACCUCACCCCCCCAGUGGCACCAAGGCCAAAUUUGGGGGUCAACAGAGGUGAGGCAAAGAACCUCACCCCCCCACUGGUACAAAGGCCUUUCCACAAGUAUGGCUGUGUGCUGGACCGGUAGUCAGUGACGGGUAUGAUCCAAUUGCAGUGGUACCAACCUAAGACAGGAGGCUGACGCCUAGAGGUCAGCUCAUCCGAUGACGGGUAAGGACCAUAUGUUGUAUUGGACAACCUAACAGGCACGGUCCCUAAGCUACAUUGCUUGUUGUUUAAUUAAACAGAAUGGGGGCGAUGCUGAGAGCCACAGCCGAGUCGGUAUGGCCCCUGGCAUUUUGCCAACAGUGUUGGUUGACAGGCGAGGCAUUACUCUCUGCCUCAGCUGCGACUUUGGAGUUCUUGCAUUACUUUGGAGUUCUUGUGGGGAUUCCCGGGGAUUCCUGGAGUGUUCCCAUUGGUUGGGGAAGUGCAGGAGGAGGGAUUUCUGGAGGGGAUAUUUCUGGUUGCUGGUUCAUGGAGGAGUCACUUGGCGGUCGGCAGAUUUCCCAGGAGCGUGUGUGAAGUGUGCUGGUAGAGUUCAGAAAUAAAGUUUGUUCCUGCUUCAGUGGCUCGUGAUUUGUGCUCAGCCAGACUGUGGCAGACGUCGACUGCAGAGAGAUUUAAAAAGAGUGGUGGAUGCCAGAUUAAAAUUUAGCGAAGAGCUCAGCGGCGGCAGAAUAAAGCCCAAGCCCGUGGAGAUGCAGGUGAUAACACAUCACAUGCAGCGCUACGCUGUGUGGUUUGGAGGCUGGAUGCUGGCCUCCACGCCUGAUUUCUUUCAGGUCUGUCACACCAAGAAGGACUAUGAGGAGUACGGCUCCAGCAUCUGCCGCCACAACCCCGUCUUCGGAGUCAUGUCUAGGUGUCUGCCUUGAAGUCACAUUCCAUAGUGUCAUGUUGGGAACGAGUGUCCUCAGAGCCCAGAGAAGACUGCAGCUCCUGUACAGGCGACGCUUAGUGUGGGGUCCCGCCGCGAGCUGGCAGUGCCCAGUGUACGAGGCACCGUGCUGUCUUCACGAAGCCAUUCUUGACGUGCUGGCGGCGAUCUGCCCUUCUGCCUCUCUCCCUCUCUGCCCCCCCCAUCUGAGCUUCUAGUCAACAAAUACAAUUCUGAAGGAAUUCAAAUGCAACUUUAAAAAUUAUUAGAGAAAAAAAUGGUGUGAAAUAGUCCCCCCCUGGAAAUAUCGUGGGGACGUAAACACUGAUCCUCCCAGCUUAUUUUUUUAAAUAAAACUUUAUAAACUUGAAAUACAAAUCGAUGUUUAUAUUUCCUAUCAUUUUGUAUUUUAUGGUAUUUGGUACAACUGGCUGGUACUAAGCACGAGUAGAUAUUGAUGUCAUGGAGUGCUGUAAUAAAGUUUUUAAUUAUGGGGCAUGUUCCGAUAUGUUUAUAGGCAAACAGAAUAAAGGGAAGACUUUUUGCCACAUGUUUAGUAGAAAAUGAUACACUUUCCUGGGGUGAUGUGAAGUCUGAACACUAAACAGUGUUGUGUGAGAGUCAUCAUGGGUACUGUGUCUGUUAGUUGUUUUGUUUGAGCUUUCUGGAAUUGUUUUAUAGAAGAUGAUGGUUCGAUGUUGGUGAGUGUUGGAUGAAAUGCUACCUUGCACCUUGUAAUAAAAGCUGUUAGAAUCUUUAUAAAUAAAAAA